rnacentral:lncRNA from 1 species
CUAAUCGGAGUCGUGAGGGAUACGGGGUUAACGAAAAUUGUGUUGUUAGUUGCUGGUCAGAACGCUAUCAGGUAAGUAACUGUUAAUAAGAGCAUUUCCAUGGUUUUCUUCAUUUUCGUAACUUGCUUUGAAUUGGGUAUUUUGUGAGUUGCGAGAAUAUCUGAUAAACGAUCGUUUGUUUCCCUAAUAGGCGAGAAUAUUAGCAAUAAGGAAU